UAGUGUUUUGCAUAUAAAAUAGAUUUACAAUAGUUAUAAGUAGAAUAGAAUAGAAUUGAAUGGAAUAGAAGAAUAGAAUAGAAUAGAAUAGAAUAGAAUAGAAUAGAAUAGAAUAGAAUAGAAUAGGAGAAUACUAGAAGUGUUAGUAACAACGGUAAGAGAGAAGAAAGCUGAUUCACUAUAAUACUGAAAAUUUAAGAAUUCCAGUUGUUGAGAAGGAUCAAAGAGAUACGUCUACACAGGAGGUGAAUUUGCCA
rnacentral:lncRNA from 12 species